rnacentral:lncRNA from 1 species
UUCUCUCUAGAACCUUCCACCUCCCCUCCUCUCCCAUGAGUUUCCUUCAUCUUCUCCAUCCACUUUCUAAUCAGAUUCCAUGGUGGUUUCACCACCCACCGGUCUCAUAUGGCUCCUCACGCUUGAUUACUGAAGUUCCAUGACUUGACCACUAAGAGUUGAAUAUGGACCUUUGUUGAUUCAAGUUCUAUGGCCAUCUCCGGCUCAAAUCCGGCAUAUCCUAGCCCAAUGAGUCUAUCUCUGACUCGUCCGACUCGGACCAGCCCCUUUUC